rnacentral:lncRNA from 1 species
GGUGUGAUAGCCAGGGUUUUAUGCAAGUGAUUAAUCCACUGUGUACCAGUCAAAAUGUGCUAGCUUAUAUACAUACUGAAUAAAAAAUAACAACCAAACUUAGGGAUGCAUAACUACAAAGUUGGAUCUCUCGCUCAUAUCCCAUGUGCAUCUUGGGUGGGUGGGGCCUCUGUUCCACAGUGCCCUCCUUCGAGGCACAGGCUGGCAGAGCUUGGACCAUCUGGAAUAGCGCCAUCUGCCAAGGCACUGGGGAGCAACGGGUGAAGUGGGAACUGACUGCGAAAGGCUUCUCCUUGGGAGAGAGGAAGUUACUUCUAGGCACACUUCAUUGGCCACGGCAUAUGCAGGAAAAGGGCAGUCCCACCUUGUGGCCAGGAAAGGAGAAACAGAAAUAUUGGUGAAUGGCACCAAUCUCAACCAAAUGGAGCUAAAUAUUUUCACUGUAGCCGCUGGCCUACACCAAUGCCAGAUCCAAGCCAUGCCUGCGACCUACACAUACCACAGCUCACGGCAACGCUGGAUCCUUAACCCACUGAGCAAGGCCAGGGAUCAAGCCUGUGUCCUCAUGAAUACUAGUUGGGUUUGUUACCGCUGAGCCACAAUGGGAACUCCAGGGCUGCUCUUUCUUAGCUGUAACCACACAGCAGUUACUCUGAGACCUGUACCUGGGAAUGCAUCCAUGAAAGCAGUGUGAGCAGCCCCAAUUUAAGAAACUGAAGUUUUCUUUUCUGAAAGUAUCCAUUAAUUGCAUAUCAUCAUUAAGGAAAAGUUCAUUCCCUCUGUAAAGAGAUAAAAUGAUUUAACAUGAGCACAUGAGCAGACACGGGACCACACUCCCACCUCACCUUCCGUCCGUAUCAAGAAUUCAGUUCAACAGACUCUGGUUUGAGAAAUACAAGGUAAUGUCAUAUAUUUUUAGUAAGUGAUGGUGAUGUUGUAAUGCCGUGUUAUAGAUGAGGAACCAGGCUCUGAGAGGUCAAGUCACAUUUCCGAAUAGCACAGGCUUUGCCUCUCUGGCCUCCAAGUGCGUGUGCUCACCUGCAUCCUCUUGCUAGUUUGCAGCAAGCCUGGAACCGAGCAUACUGAGGGCUGGGGCUGUGGGGUCACGAGACAGAUGCAGCUGGACCACCCACCCUCGACUGGACACCCCUGCACUAAUAAUCUUUCAAAGAAGUGUGUUUAUUUUGUUUGUUUGGGUUUUUUUGUUUUUUUUCUAGGGCCAUACCUGCGGCACAUGGAGGUACCCAGGCUAGGGGUCUAAUCGGAGCUAUAGCUGCGACCUACACCACAAUUCACGGCAAUGCCGGAUCCUUAACCCACUGAGUGAGGCCGGGGAUUGAGCCCGAAACCUCAUGGUUCCUAUUCGGGUUCAUUAACCACUGAGCCAUGACGGGAACGCCAGAAGUGUUUUUAAAUUAGCAAUUUUCGUGGCUUUUGCUACAGAAGCCCACUUAUUAUUGUUGUUUUUUUCCUGGGCCUUGGAGAGGGCCUUUUCCUGAGGCUGGGAGCCAGGGAUGUCCCAGAAGAUGAAGACCAGAGCCCUUCCCAGAAAAGCACCCUUGCCCAGCAGAGUCCGCCUCCUGAUGCCUGGAUGUGGUGGGGUGGGGUUUGGAGUGGGGGCGUGGGGGAUGCGGGGGCUUUUAGGAGCCAGAGAGCUGGGGAGAUGUGCAGGCUGAGUGAUGCGUCCUAAGUGCCGUGGAAGUCAGAACAGGGGUGUGACAGGGGCUGUGAGGAUUCUUGUAAAUUGAAGACUGCCUGUAAUUUGAUGAAGGCACCCACAGCUAAUGGACUUUUAAAGGAGCGCUGAAAGCAAAUCAAGUGAGGAAGAUGGCAUGUGGGGAGAAUUAAAAGGCAAAUAGGGUGAAAUUGUCAGUCAACCAGAUGCAGCCAUUAUUCACCAUUUCUAACUUAGAAACAAGUGAGGUCUAGAUCAUGUAUAAACCAGGAACACUCUGACAUUAACUAAUUUGGGGAUUUGCAAC